CAAUAGCGUAUAUUAAAGCUGUUGCGGUUAAAAAGCUCGUAGUUGGAUUUCUGUCAAGGACAACCGGUCCGCCCCUCGGGUGAGCACAUAGUUUGGUCUUGGCAUCUUGUUGGAAACUGUUGCUGCACUUGGUUGUGUGGCGCAGUGUCCAGCACUUUCACUUUGAGGAAAUUGGAGUGUUUCAAGCAGGCACAUGCCUUUGGACACAGUAGCAUGGAAUAAUUAGAUUGGGCUUUUGCUCCAACUUGUCGGUUUCUGGAGCUGAGGUGAGAAUUAAUGGGGAUUGUUGGGGGCAUCCGAAUUUAGCCGUCAGAGGUGAAAUUCUUGGAUCUGCUAAAGACGGACAACUGCGAAAGCGUUUGCCCAGGAUGUUUUCAUUGA
rnacentral:rRNA from 1 species